GACCAAACACGUGUUUGGUCGCCAUUUUUUGAAUCGGUGCACAUGGGAAAAUGAAAAAUUAAGGGAGAUGAAAAUAUAUGGUCGCCAAGUUUGCCAGAAUGGUCUCGAAAAGAAAAUUCGCGCCUAAAUAUUUCAUGGGGUUUGCGACCAAUAUAUUUUCGUCGCCAAUAAGAGGUCUUACGAAUUGAAAUUUUAAAAACUACGUCGUUUUUACUGACCUGACUGUUUGGCCACCAAACGGUUUUGUGGAUGACUCUUGAGACUAAUUUUUUUUUUUUUUUUUAAAAUCUCCUUUCCGAACCCUUAACGUCUCCAAUUCACUUCUCUACACCUACUCUCUGCAUAUCGCACACCACCGCUGCUCCUGCUCCGGCAGAACAAUUGUCCACCGACGACGACCAGUCAUAUACAAACUCUCUUCCCCUAUGUUCUUUUGGCAUGAGUUACUUAUUUCCCACUUGCUUCUUCUACUGCCUCUCUUCAGGUUUCAAUUUGAAAUACUUGCUUAAGAGGCUAUAUUCUGUCAAGAGGACCUGCAGUUUGAAGUUUUUGAUUUAGACAAUUCAUGUAUGCUGUUAAAACAUAAAUGGUGCAAAGCCAAUGCCGAGAACAGAAAAAAGAAGCAAUAUGAUCAUAUGGGGGUUAACGUCCAUGUAGAUGUGCACUGAUCAAGCUUGAGCAGUAAGGCCUUUCAGUCUUCUGGUUAGUAGGUUUGCUUUUCCUCGGAUGUUUUCCAAUUAUGAGGUGGUAUGAUACUCUUCCUCUUGGCAUUAUUCUCAUGGCUAUGAAAUUUCAGUUUGCAAUGAAUGGCUAUAUCAAUCUAAAAGAUUAGUUUUGUGUAGAAAUUGAAUGCAAGUAAAUUGUAUUGCAUACCUCUGUGAUGUCUGUGGUUGACUAGUCUGUGUUGCAUAUCUAUACUAAGGCCAGCUCCAUGAACAAACUGUGUACUGGAUUGGGCCCCGAUUUGGGGCCAUAUCUAUUAAAAGUUUAAUUUGAACUUAUUCGGUGGUCAAUAUAAAUAUCUAAUUCCGGGACCAAAUUAGUUUAACUCAAAUAAAAUGGAAAAACAACUUAAAGGUAGAGUAGCUAAACAGCAUCACUUCUCAGUGUUCAUUCCAACCUCAAAAUACCUUUUUAUACAACUUCAGUCCUCAUUCUACAUGAUUUAUUUUGACACAUAGAUUGAGGAUUUACCAGUUCAAACUUGAAAGUAUCUAUACAUAUUACCAUUAUAAAAAUAUUUUUUUAUGGAGCAGUGUUUUAAUUCUAAUUAAGUCUGUUGUUGUUCAAGAGAGUUUUUCUGAUGUUGGUCCUAUGAGCAGGUGUUAAUUUGCUUGGCUGAGUAUGAUGGAGGAGAUAAAAUAAGAGUUCUCCUGUGUUGUGAUGAAUUUCAUAUGGAAUGCAUUGACAAAUAUUCAUUACUUCUGUAAUACUUCUCCCAGUUUACCAAGUGCUUUUGAUGAAUUAUAUUCCUAUAUAUGAUGAUAUCUUAUAUUCUCCAUAUGCUACAGUCUUCAGAUUAGCUGACAUGAAUUAAUUUUCCAAUUUCAUUGCCUCAUUUUUUUUCUUCCAGCUAUUUGCAUUCGACUAGAAAUUUUUCUAAGAAACUAUCAGCCUCUGUCAUAAUUCUUUCAUUGAUUAUAUAUUGUUGUUCUCUCAUUUUUCUGGAGUUAACUUGAUUGAGUUGUCAUGCACUGCCUGAAAUUUUGGAUACCGUGUGAGUUAUAAGUUGCAAAUGAAAUUGAGACAAAAAACAAUGAACUCCAUUUUAUAAGAAAAUUAGUCUGCUUUGAGUUUAAGUUUGUUUUUUCUUGAUACGUAAGUAGGAGAUUUUAAAUUGGGCUUGUUUGUGCUUUUGUGCAUCUGCAUAUAUAGCAAUAAAAGGAAAGUGAUGGUUCCAAUAGAGUAGAUCAAAGGUGUACCACAUUAACACCAAUUAGUCUUUUGUAUUACUCUGUAUAUACAUAUUAUACAAGUACAUAUUUGACAUUGCUUUUUUUGUUUCUUUUGUAGAGGCAGAUGAUGAAUGAGUUUGAGAAGCUGAAGCAACAAUUGGUAGAGUACGAGUUCAUGUCAUGGUCCAUAUCCCACAAGCUUGGUCUCUAGUCUUCAUGUGGAGAAAUAAUGAAUGCAUAGAUUGGGGUUACAAAGGGAAAGAAAAUUCGAAGCCUGGUCUUUAGUUUUUUUUAUUUUUUUUUAAUUUUUAAUUUUAAUUUUAAUUUUAAUUUUUUGGUGAACUUGGACUCUAGUCUUUGAGUGUUAUUCAUUCAUUUAUGCUUCUUGUUUUUGGAUAUAGGGUGCGAAAUUUAUGUGUACCUAAAUUACUAGUAUACUUAUGUGCCUUUGAAUGUUUAAAACUUUAUUUAUAUCAUUUUCAAUUGAUUUUGUUUCCCUAAA